GCCAAAAAACACGAAGAAGAAGAAAAGCAAACAUGGAACCAGAGAAGAAGUCAGAAAAAGACUUUAAAACGUUUCAAUCUAAAGCCGCGUCGAUAUAUUUACCCAAACACUCCUAUUGGUACGACUUUUGGCUGUUCGUGCUCUUUGACGUCGCGUUUUUCCUCGUGAUGUAUUUUAUAGUCCCGUAGAAAAGUUUGCCCCCUCACUGUGGAGCAUGAAGACCAGUACUGGUCCUGCCCUGCUGUCAGGAAUGCUAACCCAGCUUCAACUGAAUUUAACACCACGUUAUUGGAAGUUUCCCCAACUUGGACUAUAGGACUACAAGUUCACACAUGCAGCAGGAUGACCCACAGGGCUCGUUCCCAUGGUGACCUGUUGCUGUGACUUUCUGCAUCGACGGCUUCAAGUUGUUACUGCAGGGAAGAGAUAAACUUCAAAAGUAAUUAUUGAAAAGUGACAAUAGCCAUCGGAUGAUCCAGUGCUGUGGAAAACAAGAUUUUACCUGCACACUAUAAAUGUGUAAAAUGUUGCAAUAAAGAGAAAGAUAAUGCAAAUAAAAAUUUUAACUACAUGC